GACUCGGUUCUGUUGGUGACUCGGUUCUGUUGGUGACUUGGUUCUGAUGGUGACUUUGUGUUCAGACAGUGUUCAGUAAACCUUAAGUGGGAUUUAUGUUCUGAUUUUGACUGAAGCUUCGACCUAGUGAUCAGAGAUUGCACAACCAGCCAGCCGUGUCUGCAUCAUGUGCAUCAUGGCAUAUUUAUUUUUCAAAAGAAACGCAUUGAAAAAAAAUAUAUAUAAAAAAAAAAAAGAAAAAAAAAA
rnacentral:lncRNA from 1 species